GACGAACGCUGGCGGCGUGCUUAACACAUGCAAGUCGUACGGUAAGGCCCUUUCGGGGGUACACGAGUGGCGAACGGGUGAGUAACACGUGAGUAACCUGCCCACAACUUUGGGAUAACGCUAGGAAACUGGUGCUAAUACUGGAUAUGUGCUCCUGCGGCAUGGUGGGGGUUGGAAAGCUCCGGCGGUUGUGGAUGGACUCGGGGCCUAUCAGCUUGUUGGUGGGGUAGUGGCCUACCAAGGCGGCGACGGGUAGCCGGCCUGAGAGGGUGAGCGGCCACAGUGGGACUGAGAUACGGCCCAGACUCCUACGGGAGGCAGCAGUGGGGAAUAUUGCACAAUUGGCGCAAGCCUGAUGCAGCAACGCCGCGUGCGGGAUGACGGCCUUCGGGUUGUAAACCGCGUUCAGCAGGGACGAAGCUUUUUGUGACGGUACCUGCAGAAGAAGCACCGGCUAACUACGUG
rnacentral:rRNA from 1 species